rnacentral:rRNA from 1 species
AGAAUCAACGCUGGCGGCGUGCCUAACACAUGCAAGUCGAACGAGAAAGUGGAGCAAUCCAUGAGUAAAGUGGCGCACGGGUGAGUAACACGUGACUAACCUACCCUUGAGUGGGGGAUAACCUAGGGAAACCUGGGCUAAUACCGCAUAAUACCUUCGGGUCAAAGGAGCAAUUCGCUUAAGGAGGGGGUCGCGGCCGAUUAGUUAGUUGGCGGGGUAAUGGCCCACCAAGACUGUGAUCGGUAUCCGGCCUGAGAGGGCGCACGGACACACUGGAACUGAAACACGGUCCAGACUCCUACGGGAGGCAGCAGUGGGGAAUUUGCGCAAUGGGGGAAACCCUGACGCAGCAACGCCGCGUGGAGGAUGAAGUCCCUUGGGACGUAAACUCCUUUCGAUCGGGACGAUUAUGACGGUACCGGAAGAAGAAGCCCCGGCUAACUUCGCGCCAGCAGCCGC